AAAUUAGUUCAGUUGGUAGAACGCAGGUCUCCAAAACCUGAUGUCGUGAGUUCAAAUCUUACAUUU
rnacentral:tRNA from 1 species